UACAGUAUCGUUUGAUUUCC
rnacentral:misc_RNA from 1 species